CUCGAACUCACUCGAUGGUUCAUGGUUCUACGUAAUUAGUAGGAUCGAGUUUCUACUCCAAUCUAAGGUUUUUAGGGUUGUGAACUCAAGAGUACCGGUACGAGUUCUUUGAGUAAGGAACUGGUAGCUUUUACUUAUGUCAAUGAGUGAGAACUGUAGUAGUAGAUUGAGUUAAAGAGUUUGAUCUUCCCCCCAACCAAAAGGGAUAUAGAGGGGUAAGGGUCCUUUCUUUUGUUGUUGCACUGAACUAAGUAAGUGUCCUCUUCUCAGAGAGGAGGAGUUGCCUAAACCUAAAGGAUUAGUUCCUCGAGUCUAGUUAACUCGACAGCUUAACUUAACACGAAUAACGCGCGAGCUUUCCUCGACUAUAGCGCGAGUAGAGUCUAGCUCGACAAGAGGAACUGCUUAACUUGACAAUAGCUCGACUAGGUCGCUUCGCUUCCAAAAAUCAAAAUACCCCCUUUUUUCUUGUUUUAAUUGUUUAUUUUUAUUUGUUACUUGUACUUGAUUGAGUACAGGUAGUAGUAGUGGAGUUGAAGAGGUCGCUAUCUCCCCAGUGAAGGCUCGCUUCGCAGACUUCACGAGCAAAGAAUAGAUAUGACAAAAAGGUGCCCAUAAGUUUGCUGUCCUGUCUCUGCCUGUAGGUAGUAGGUCCCAGCUCUUUCCGAUAAGCGGAUAAGUUGAGGGGCUUGCUUCCCAAAAUAAACUUCCCUUGCCUCCUCCUGGCCUUGACACUCUAGUUGUUGUAGCUCUUGUUUACUCCUUGUUUUCCUUCUUUCUCUUGUUAGGAGUUUAGAGUAUGUCUAGAACGAGUGGAACGAAGUGCUUCUCUUAAAAAGCCCGAGUCCACGACCUAAAGUCAAGAGGAGCCGAAGGGAGAUGGCUAAUAGAUUGACUUGCUUUUUACCUUUCGUAUUCGGCGGAAGUAAAACUUGAUAUCG
rnacentral:lncRNA from 1 species